UACGUAGGGGGCAAGCGUUAUCCGGAAUUACUGGGUGUAAAGGGAGCGUAGACGGUAAUGUAAGUCUGGAGUGAAAGGCGGGGGCCCAACCCCCGGACUGCUCUGGAAACUAUGUUACUAGAGUGCAAGAGAGGUAAGCGGAAUUCCUAGUGUAGCGGUGAAAUGCGUAGAUAUUAGGAGGAACACCAGUGGCGAAGGCGGCUUACUGGACUGUAACUGACGUUGAGGCUCGAAAGCGUGGGGAGCAAACAGG
rnacentral:rRNA from 1 species